rnacentral:rRNA from 1 species
GUCCACGCCCUAAACGUUGAUUACUCGUUGUUGGCGAUAUACAGUCAGCGACCAAGCUAAAGCGUUAAGUAAUCCACCUGGGAAGUACGACCGCAAGGUUGAAACUCAAAGGAAUUGACGGGGCCCGCACAAGUGGAGGAGCAUGUGGUUUAAUUCGAUGAUACGCGAGGAACCUUACCUGGGCUUGAAAGUUAGUGACGUUCUGUGAAAGCAGAAUUCCCUUCGGGGCACAAAACUAGGUGCUGCAUGGCUGUCGU